UACAGAGAGUGCAAGCGUUAAUCGGAAUUACUGGGCGUAAAGCGCACGUAGGUGGAUACUUUAGUCGGGUGUGAAAUCCCCAGGCUUAACCUGGGAACGUGCGUCCGAUACUGGGUAGUCUAGAGUAUAGUAGAGGGAAGUGGAAUUUCCGGUGUAGCGGUGAAAUGCGUAGAUAUCGGAAAGAACACCAGUGGCGAAGGCGGCUUCCUGGACUAAUACUGACACUGAGGUGCGAAAGCGUGGGGAGCAAACAGGAUUAGAUACCCGUGUAGU
rnacentral:rRNA from 1 species